rnacentral:sRNA from 1 species
GGAAUGAGAGAGACAGGAUAAGGCUGGAAGGAAGAUGGAUAAGAACCACAAAUUGAAGGAUAUUGUUAUUCCUGUAGUUUAAAAAUAGUCUGUAAUGGUGAACCUGAUGGUUUUUAAUAGAGCAGAAUUAGGAUUAGUUGUAUGGUUUGGUCUAUAGUUGGGUUUAUAAAAAUUUUCAUUUUAUGAGUUACACAUUUUACUUUUUUCUUCAUAGGCUAAGAAGUAUAGCUACAAUCAUGAACAAAAUAUAUGAGUUAGUCACACGUAGAUAAUCAGAAGAUGACUUAUAUACUUUGAGUUCAACAUUUUAGCUAGCAGAUUUAAAAAAUAACUAAUUUAACCAACCUAGAUUUUUACUUCAUUUUAGCUAGCAGAUUUUAAAAAUAACUAAUUUAACCAACCUAGAUUUUUACUUCAUUGUUAGCAACUGGAUACCUAACUUUGGGCAAACAACAUGGGUGUUGGAGUGGUUGGAAUUAUAGAGUGUAAUUUCCUUAAGCCAACUCAUAAUAAACAAGAUUUCGACUAUACUAAUGAGUACAGACUUACAAUAACAGCACUAGGAGAAAAGCUGAAUGAUUACUGGAAUGAAAUGAAAGUGAAGAAAAAUACAGAAUAUCCUCUAAAUUUGCCAGUUGAAGAUAUACAGAAGCGUCCUGAUCAGACAUGGGUUCAGUGUGAUGCCUGUCUAAAGUGGCGGAAAUUACCUGAUGGGAUGGAUCAACUUCCUGAAAAAUGGUAUU